CAGUAUGCAGCAGCAUAAUGAAGAGCAUUGGCAUCAUCCAAUGUUACAUCAGAUUCUGUCAGGAGAAGUUUUACCAGUUCAACAUCAUCCGAGUCUAAUGCCUUAUGUAUUCUCCUAAUUCUCUUUUCAUGCACGGGGUCCACAACGUCAACAUUCUCUUCAUCAUCAGACACAGGCUUUUUGCGAAGAAAUUUAAUGCUCUCUGAAACUUCAUAGGGAAGCUCCUUCUCUAUUGUUAUCAAGAUCCGACCGUGCUAUUCUAUCCACACACUGAGCAACAAGUUGAUUUAAUUGACAGUGGAAGGCAACCAGAAGUAUAGGGAUUACAUCCUCCACAUAAGCCUUAUCAACAAAGUUAACAAGGCGUCUCUGGAAAAGUGAAACCAGCUCUG
rnacentral:misc_RNA from 1 species